GCCUUGGUCUUCCAAAUCAUUGCACAAAAUUAAUUAAACUUUUCCCUAUUAGAUAUCCAACUGCUUUUUAUUUCAGAAGUGAAGUUACAUUACUGAUGGGUAUAAUGCUCCAUAGUGGCUUAUUACUUAUUCUCCUUUAGAACAAAACCUCUCUUUAGUGGAUAAUGUAUUUCCAUAUGCUGCUUUACCUUGUUGCUGUUAUUGUUUUGCAAGCUCGAACAAUAUGCUGAAAGUUCCAGUGAACAGGUGAACUUCUAAUUGUAUUUUUAAAUAAUGCAUUCAUCAUUUUAAAAGUCUGCCAUUGUCUGAAAUGACUGACAUCAUGUUUCUUUUUACAGAGAUUUAUCUUUUACCCACCACAAGUACCACCAUUUUUCCCUCAGGUCCUCUUUCCCCUACCUCCGCAACCGCCCCUGGUCCUCACACCUAAUGAUCUUAUCGCGUUACUCAUUGCUAUUUUGAACCAACUAGGGGUAAGGCUCUAUUUUUAUGCUAUAAUAAACUACACAUUUACUUAAUAGACUAAAGAUAACAUCUUACUAAAUUUUUUUUUGUUGUUUUUUUUUUUAACUUUUGGAACUUCUCUGGGGUAAGAUUUUAUUUCCAUGACUAAAUUGAUAAAGGUAAGUUAUAUUCAAUGCCACGAAAGGUAAGAGAAACUCUUUGUAACUAUAAAAAUAUGAGAGUCAACCUCAACUGAUCUACCAAACUAGAACUCAUAAGUUAUAAACUCAUUUCCUCCAAAAUCUUUACAUCAAAAUUUUUGCCAGUCUAAAAAGGUAUUUUUUAAUAAUGUCCUUGAUAUUUCACAAAAUUUAAAUUUACAGGCAUAUAUGCAAUAUGAAAUUUCAAACAACAAAGUUUGCUUCAGGCUUUUUUUUUUUUUUUUUUGAGGA
rnacentral:lncRNA from 1 species